AUGGUCUCCUCGGGCUGGACUGCGGUGAACAUCAAUGGCGAGAUUGGCCCUUACUUCCCCACAUUCUGUGGGGUCUGUCAGGGCGACCCCUUCUCUCCAUUCCUCUUCAACAUGGUUGUUGAUGCUCUGGCAGCCAUCCUAGAUAAAGCCAAGGUUGCGGGACAUAUUAGGGGCAUAGUCCCACACGUGGUAGGCGGGAAUGGGAUUUCCCUUCUCCAAUACGUAGAUGACACCAUUAUAAUGGUGGAAGGCUCAGUGAACGACAUCACAAACUUAAAGUUCCUCCUGCUCUGCUUUGAGCAAAUGUCUGGCCUCAGGAUCAACUUCGAUAAGAGUGCGGUCAUGGUCUUGGGAUGCCCCCAAGACGAGCGACAGAACUUCACGGACCACCUCAACUGCCAUCUUGGGAGCCUACCCAUGACUUAUUUGGGAAUCCCCAUUAGUGACAUGAGGCUCAUGGUGGCCGAGCUGCACCCCACGGUGGGGAAGCUUCAGCACCGCAUUGAACCAUGGCAGGGCUGA
rnacentral:rRNA from 1 species